GGAUGGGUGGCAGAGUGGUCGAAUGCGGCGGUCUUGAAAACCGUUGUGGGGGCAACUCCACCGGGGGUUCGAAUCCCUCCCCAUCCGCCA
rnacentral:tRNA from 1 species